rnacentral:rRNA from 1 species
UACGUAGGUGGCAAGCGUUGUCCGGAAUUAUUGGGCGUAAAGCGCGCGCAGGCGGUCUCUUAAGUCUGAUGUGAAAGCCCCCGGCUCAACCGGGGAGGGCCAUUGGAAACUGGGAGACUUGAGUACAGAAGAGGAGAGUGGAAUUCCACGUGUAGCGGUGAAAUGCGUAGAUAUGUGGAGGAACACCAGUGGCGAAGGCGACUCUCUGGUCUGUAACUGACGCUGAGGCGCGAAAGCGUGGGGAGUAAACAGG